CCGUAAAUACCCCAGCCCCUUGCUCUCCAGGGGUGGCGUUGAGGUUUGUUCAGCCAUCUCCUGGCUGGGCUGCCCGUCUUUGCUGUGGACCCGGCGUCUCAGCUUUCUGGUUUGCUGGGCAUCCUGCAAAACGGACCUGGUUCAGUGACAGAAGCAGGCGGAGGAAAGAGCUGAAAGGGUAAAGGUGUUGAGGAAGGCAGGCCCGCGGAGGAGUGGGGAGCACUGGCUACUCCUGGACGCCAGGCCACGUACAGGCUGAGGGUGAUAAGCAGAUCCCCUGACCCUCUGGACCUCAGCUUCCUCGUGUGUAAAGCUAAACAGGCUUCACCCUCGUCACCCUGUGACCAAGACGAACAGUGCGGAGGCCUAGCCAGCUGCUCUCCCCGCCCUUCUGUCUACAUCGUGGGCGUGGAUUUCCCGUAAAGCGCACAAUCGUGGACACCCGUGUGUAUGUUUCCCAGAAAGAGUGAGUAUACCAUGAGAAACUGCAGAAGAAUGA